rnacentral:rRNA from 1 species
UACGAAGGGUGCAAGCGUUAAUCGGAAUUACUGGGCGUAAAGCGCGCGUAGGUGGUUCAGUAAGUUGGAUGUGAAAUCCCCGGGCUCAACCUGGGAACUGCAUCCAAAACUGCUGAGCUAGAGUACGGUAGAGGGUGGUGGAAUUUCCUGUGUAGCGGUGAAAUGCGUAGAUAUAGGAAGGAACACCAGUGGCGAAGGCGACCACCUGGACUGAUACUGACACUGAGGUGCGAAAGCAUGGGGAGCAAACAGG